UUGAACGCUGGCGGCAGGCCUAACACAUGCAAGUCGAACGGUAACAGGAAGCAGCUUGCUGUUUCGCUGACGAGUGGCGGACGGGUGAGUAAUGUCUGGGAAACUGCCUGAUGGAGGGGGAUAACUACUGGAAACGGUAGCUAAUACCGCAUAACGUCGCAAGACCAAAGAGGGGGACCUUCGGGCCUCUUGCCAUCGGAUGUGCCCAGAUGGGAUUAGCUAGUAGGUGGGGUAACGGCUCACCUAGGCGACGAUCCCUAGCUGGUCUGAGAGGAUGACCAGCCACACUGGAACUGAGACACGGUCCAGACUCCUACGGGAGGCAGCAGUGGGGAAUAUUGCACAAUGGGCGCAAGCCUGAUGCAGCCAUGCCGCGUGUAUGAAGAAGGCCUUCGGGUUGUAAAGUACUUUCAGCGGGGAGGAAGGGAGUAAAGUUAAUACCUUUGCUCAUUGACGUUACCCGCAGAAGAAGCACCGGCUAACUCCGUGCCAGCAGCCGCGGUAAUACGGAGGGUGCAAGCGUUAAUCGGAAUUACUGGGCGUAAAGCGCACGCAGGCGGUUUGUUAAGUCAGAUGUGAAAUCCCCGGGCUCAACCUGGGAACUGCAUCUGAUACUGGCAAGCUUGAGUCUCGUAGAGGGGGGUAGAAUUCCAGGUGUAGCGGUGAAAUGCGUAGAGAUCUGGAGGAAUACCGGUGGCGAAGGCGGCCCCCUGGACGAAGACUGACGCUCAGGUGCGAAAGCGUGGGGAGCAAACAGGAUUAGAUACCCUGGUAGUCCACGCCGUAAACGAUGUCGACUUGGAGGUUGUGCCCUUGAGGCGUGGCUUCCGGAGCUAACGCGUUAAGUCGACCGCCUGGGGAGUACGGCCGCAAGGUUAAAACUCAAAUGAAUUGACGGGGGCCCGCACAAGCGGUGGAGCAUGUGGUUUAAUUCGAUGCAACGCGAAGAACCUUACCUGGUCUUGACAUCCACGGAAGUUUUCAGAGAUGAGAAUGUGCCUUCGGGAACCGUGAGACAGGUGCUGCAUGGCUGUCGUCAGCUCGUGUUGUGAAAUGUUGGGUUAAGUCCCGCAACGAGCGCAACCCUUAUCCUUUGUUGCCAGCGGUCCGGCCGGGAACUCAAAGGAGACUGCCAGUGAUAAACUGGAGGAAGGUGAGGAUGACGUCAAGUCAUCAUGGCCCUUACGACCAGGGCUACACACGUGCUACAAUGGCGCAUACAAAGAGAAGCGACCUCGCGAGAGCAAGCGGACCUCAUAAAGUGCGUCGUAGUCCGGAUUGGAGUCUGCAACUCGACUCCAUGAAGUCGGAAUCGCUAGUAAUCGUGGAUCAGAAUGCCACGGUGAAUACGUUCCCGGGCCUUGUACACACCGCCCGUCACACCAUGGGAGUGGGUUGCAAAAGAAGUAGGUAGCUUAACCUUCGGGAGGGCGCUUACCACUUUGUGAUUCAUGACUGGGGUG
rnacentral:rRNA from 1 species